UACGUAGGGCGCAAGCGUUAAUCGGAAUUACUGGGCGUAAAGGGCGCGUAGGCGGACAGUUUAGUCAGAGGUGAAAGCCCAGGGCUCAACCUUGGAAUUGCCUUUGAUACUGGCUGUCUUGAGUUCGGGAGAGGUGAGUGGAAUGCCGAGUGUAGAGGUGAAAUUCGUAGAUAUUCGGCGGAACACCAGUGGCGAAGGCGACUCACUGGCCCGAGUACUGACGCUGAGGCGCGAAAGCGUGGGGAGCAACAGGG
rnacentral:rRNA from 1 species